AGCUACACAAGGAGAUGAGGAUGGUCAUUGUCUGUUUCUGAGCUGCAAACGGGCAGAAAGCUACACAAGGAAAUGAGGAUGGUCAUUCUCUGUUUCUGAGCUGCGAAUGGGCAGAAAGCUACACAAGGAGAUGAGGAUGGUCUUUGUCGUUUCCUGAGCUUCGAACGGGCAG